AAGAAGACAUACGGGUUGUAAAGCACCUUCGGUUGGUACAAAAAGUCACGGGAUAACACCCUGCUAUCUUGAUUUAACCCAUAGAAGAAGCACCGGCUAACUCUGUGCCAGCAGCCGCUGUAAUACAGAGGGUGCAAGCGGUAAUCGGAAUUACUGGGCGUAAAGCGCACGUGGGCGGCGUGAUAAGUUGGAUGUGAAAUCCCCGGGCUUAACUUGGGAAUUGCGUUCAAGACUGUCGCGCUAGAGUAUGAGAGAGAGAAGUGUAAUUCCAGGUGUAGCGGUGAAAUGCGUAGAUAUGUGGAGGAACAUCAGUGGCGAAGGCGGCUUCUUGGCCCAAUACUGACUCUGAGGUGCGAAAGCUUCGGGAUCGAACAGGAUUGUGAUACCCUGGUAGUCCA
rnacentral:rRNA from 1 species